GAAGCGGGUUGGGUGAUCGCCGGUGUUCCUUGGAACACGGGAGGAAAGUCCGGGCUCCGUUAAAAGGGUGCCGGGUAAUCCCCGGCGGGGGAAACCCCAGGGAAAGUGCCACAGAGAGCAGACCGCCGGCCAGGAGCAAUCCGCCGGUAAGGGUGAAAGGGUGCGGUAAGAGCGCACCGCGUGCACCGGUAACGGUCACGGCAUGGUAAACCCCACCUGGAGCAAGGCCAAAUAGGGGGCGCUUGACGCCCCGGGUAGGCUGCUUGAGACCUACGGUAACGUAGGUCCUAGAUGAAUGAUCACCGCUGCGCCCUCCUGGGAACAGGGCGCAACACAGAACCCGGCUUACAGACCCGCUUCGGCC
rnacentral:RNase_P_RNA from 16 species